GGGGAUGACGUCAAGUCAGCAUGGCCCUUACGUCCAGGGCUACACACGUGCUACAAUGGGCGGUACAAAGGGCUGCGAACCCGCGAGGGGGAGCGAAUCCCAAAAAGCCGCUCUCAGUUCGGAUUGCAGGCUGCAACUCGCCUGCAUGAAGCCGGAAUCGCUAGUAAUCGCGGAUCAGCAUGCCGCGGUGAAUACGUUCCCGGGCCUU
rnacentral:rRNA from 1 species